UCUGCUCCGUUUCAGCCUGCUGCCAUCCAGAUUAACCUCAGGGUAAACGGGGGAGGAGGAACGUCAUCGAUUUGGCAUACACCAGUGCUGCCCCUUGGCUGCCUAGGGAGAGCCUGGCAGCCACGGCCCUGGCCUUGGGCAGGCAGGAGGGGGGGCCACUGAGAGCUCCCGGUUCAUGAGCCAGCGGCACCUCCCUGGGGGGGGAGCGGAGGUCUCCACAGCCGCACACGUCUCUGCCGCUGCGCUCAGGGGCUGUAGGCCACUGCUGCAGCUCCCGGCCUGGAGACCACAUCCUCAGGUCCAUUAUUAGGGGCACUUGAGGAAACGGCUCCUGAUCCCUGGCCUGCCACUUCAGGCAAUGAACCCCGAAGGGUCUGCGCGAGCAUGGCAUCCCAGCACAGCACCGCACCGCACCUCACCGAAGCGCUCCUGCGCUGAGGCACCUGCAUCUCGUCUUCCACCUGGGAAACCGGACGGUGAGAGCGCUCCCGGCGGGCGCUGAGCACAGUGCAGGGCUGAGCGCUGACCAGCUCCAAGCCACCGCGGCCUCCUGGCCGCACACACGCUGACGCUCGGGCUGGCAUGGCCCCAAGUGCGAUGCUCCGAGACCUGGGGCGCCGCGCACGGUAGGCUGGGGCCCAGCGGCUCCCUCCCUCUGCCCGUUGCCCGCGCUGGAAGCCUAGGUGCGCUGGGUUGAGGUAAUACCGAGGUGUGUGAGGUCCGCCUGAAAACGUGGCCCGAGGGCCACACGUCAGCCCGGGCAGCCCAAGGCCGAGCCACUUACCACAGGUGGACCCUCCAGAAUUGGCAGGAGAAACGGUGGGAACAGCGCUUUAACUGUGCCCAUGGCUGGAUCACAGACGAAUGAAGAAACGCCUUUGAAAUUCUCUUAUCAUGAAAAUUAUGGAAAAAUCCCAGUGGGAUUCAAAGGUCCAGGGAUGGAGCAACAGCACACUUGAAUUUUUCAUUCCCUGGAAUAUUCCUUCCUAAUUAACCUGCUCUUCUACUCCCCUGGAAGACUCCAGCCUCUGCAUCCCUUUCACUUGGACGAUAACGUCCAAGUGAGAAGCACUGUUUUGAAAGCCAGCCCAUCAAGUUCAAGGAAAAGAGGUGGAUGAGAGCCACGCCCAGCAUGGGUGUUCAACCCAUAAGCUACCCAAGGUGGCAAAGCUGGGAGAAAGGCUCUCUGCAGAUUCCAAAAUGCUGGUGCGCGAUGGGCUCUAGGAACAGAAAGCCAAGUGCCGACGGAAACUGAGAGCUCCCCAACUCUGCCCAGAGUCCUGUAGAAAAGGCAGUAAGAACGGAAGCAAGGGGUGCAACCUGCAGACUGCCAGGCACUGCACCCCGUUCGAUGGCUUUCCCCUCACGCCUUGGGGGGGGGGGGUGCUCCACUGGGUGGAGGAAGGAAGCCAGGGUGGGAUGGGAUGGAUAGCCCCCUCUUCCAUGGCAACCCAGAAGUCAGCUUCUUGGAACUGAGGGUUUCCUCAGCGGGGAGUCUUCAGCUGACCCCUGGGUUGACAGAAUGGGGCAUGGAGAUGACUGCAUGUCGAUGGCUCUCUCUUGCUCUCUGACACCACCAACCUGGAUGGCCACUGGAAUAUUCUGAGAUGAAAAUGAAGUCUCUCUUCAGAGUUCCUAGGGGUGAAUGAUGCAGUCACUGGGAACUCCUGGCUAUUUUAUUGCAUUAGGAAACAAAACCAUUAAAGCAUUUAAGACAGCCCUUUUGUGUCCCUGCCAAGGAGAUGAAGUGGAUUCGCAACACCUGUUGCCCCGCAGCCUUGGGCGCUUCACUGAACUGUGCCAUGUCUGCAUCAUCCAUACCCGCUUUCGUGGAGGAACAGAGUCUGCCCGCAGGGCAUGCACAUGCGCGGUGAGCCGGGACGCAGUGCGAUGGGGGGAGGCUGCUACUCCAUGCCACUCCGAAGGAUCUGGUUGGCCGCGAUCAGCAUGACGCUUAUGAUGAAGGCCAUGGCGAAGGCGCAGAUGAGGCUCUUGCGGACGCAGGUCUGUCUGUUCUGUUUCUGGGAAUGCACUGGGGUUGGGGGGGGGAGGAAGAAGAGAGAAAUGACACAGUGAGACAGGCUGAUCUCCUCCUCCACCAGCCCAGUUCAUAGGCCAAAGAGCGGUCACAUGGACAAGCAUCUCUGGGACCAUUCUCAGAGGCCGGACAGCACCUCUUCUGGCAAAUGGUUCGAAACAGUAAAGCUUCUAUAACAAAAACCAUGAGAGAUGAGAUGUUCAGAGGAAGGUACAAACUUCCAGGCCCAGUAGACCUACAGUGACUUUCUGAGUGAGAAAUAUGGAACAUUUCAGGGUUUCACAAAAGGCAUCAUCCAGGCAUCACUGUGUCCCUUCCUGCAGAACACCGGGCUCCCAUUUCUGAGAUAGCUCUUGCUGACACAGCGAGGUUCUGAUGCUUCCCUACUUAUCCCCACCCAGCGGGAAGCAACUUACCCUCCCAGAUCUCUUCUUGUGGCUGCUGGUGAAAAUGACUAAAUGCCUUCUGGUAUUAUUUUGGCUGUGCAUACCAGUGGUUCUGGACUGGGGUCCCUAGGCAAGCAGCAUCCGCAUCACUGGGACUUAAUAAAAAUGCAGGUGCUCAGGCCAGACCCCAUGCCCAAUCUACUGAAUCAGGAAUUCCAGGGAUGAGGCUAGUGAUCUACAUUUACUAGGGGAUUCUGGUGAAAUCUGAGAAGUGGAGACCACAUGCUCUGUGGACAGGACCAAUGUGAAGCAUGGAGAGAGGCACAAAACCCUGCCAGACUUUUCAGAGGCAGGGUGUCCCUGCCCCCGUGCCCUGUUGCACCCGGGGUCUGACCUUGGAUCCUAGGGUUGUGUUCUCUUAAUCCUUUUUGUUGGGCUAGGUCUUGUACCAUCAUUUUUAGAAAGCCCUUGAGGAGCCAUUAGUGUAGAUCUGAAUCAGUAGGAAAGUAAUACAGACCAGAUACAGGGAAAUGGAAAUCAGAAAGAAAAGCUUUGAUAAAGUGUGCUGAGGAUGAACAGGUCUCUUUUCCAGGCAUUGCUUCCCAUGCCAGAACUUCUUUUCUUGCUUUUUCUUCUAUUAGUCUACACAUUCCCCUUUCCCAUCUGUCUGUCCAUCCGUGAUUUUUGCACACAAUUUGCCACUUAACAUAUGGAAGAAAUCUGUGCCCUGGAGGCAGGUGGGAAGCUGUGCACACCAGAGCUACUCACUGGACCAGCAGCAGCAGCACCAUCUCAGAGUUUGAUGUAAAUGUAAAAUCUUGGGUCCCACUGCAGAAUUACCGAAUCAAAAUCUCUGGGUGUGGAGGCCAGGAAUUCAUGAAUUGGUAAGUUCUCCAAGUGAUUAGGGAAUUGUGGGGCCCCAGCCCCAGAGUUUUUGAUUCAUUAGGACGGUGGGGAGUAAAGAAUCUGAUGAAGUUUGAGUUGCUGGGGGACCUGACAGGGGUGUGUGUGUGUGUGUGUGUGUGUGUGUGUGUGUGUGUGUUAGGGACACAGGGUGGGAGGCACUGGGAAAGAUGGUUCUUUAGAUUCAGACGUUAAGAAACCCAGGACCAGGACAGAAGAACAUUUUCAGAUUACUCUCCAUUUUGAAAAGGGGUCCUUCUACCUUUGCAAACUUCCAGCUGAGGAGAGUGGUUUUUCUUUAGGCCAGAUCAUCGAAGGGGGAGAAAGAAAUACAAUAUCCCUUCAUAUUACUUGCAGUCUCUCUCUGUGAGGAAAGAAGACUGGCAAAAGAGCAAGGUCAAGGUAGGGGCCACAUGCCUUUAAAGAACCUAAAAAUGGUUCAAUUUCAGGUAUGUCUUCCCUUUGACAAUCAGUGGCUCCUCUGAAGUCCCUGGAAAUAAUAAGGAAGAAGUAGGAGGCCUGGGAUGUUCCAAGGACAAACAGAGCAUUCCCUGAGAGAAGGGGUCUCAGGGAGUCGUCCAGGGGUCUCUAAAAAUUAUAUCAACCAUGAGGGUUUCUCCAGCAAGCCACAUUUCACAGAGAUCCAGGGCUCCCUGGCACAGCUCUCCGUCACCAAUGCUCGUUGGUUAUUUCUGCCACCAUCUCUUAGGUGCUGUCUUAUUAUCUUUAAUCCUGGAUCUUCUGGGCUUUUGCUUCUCUUGGGUGAUUGGGAGUAUUUUUGGCUCAGUUCUCCACUUGCUGAUCAUGUCUCAGUCUUAGAAUCUUACAAAUCCUUACCUGGAGGAAGAAAAUUUCCUUGGUGCAGAGUUGUGCCUUCCCCUGCCCCCAGGAGUGAGCAAAUGUAAAAACGUGCCAGCGCUCAGCAAGGAAAAGGGGAGGUGGUGUUUCAGAAGGAUAAGGACCCUAGCAGAAAAUAAAAUGAAGAUGCGGAAGUAGCGUAUCUAACACUUUCUGAGGUCUGGCUAAUUUAUUCUGGGCAGCUCCUCAGCAUAAAAAUGCUUCUGAAGGCAGUCAUCUACCUUUCUGUCCUGAGGGCUGGCGAAGGCCAAGAAAAAUUGUGUGAUUACGCUGAGGGAGAAAUUUUUGGCUGAAGCUCUUCUUUGUGAAGGACACUCGGAAAACAAGGUUAUGGGCAACAGGAUUAUCCCCCAGGAGAGUGGCUGCAUCUUUGAUCUGAAAAUCCUUCAAAGCAGUAGGAAGGGAGAGAUAGGGAAGGAGGAAAGGCCUGGAGACCUAAUAGUUUAUACUUGAGGCCCUGCAAAUCUGAACCCAGACCAAAGUCCUGCAAGCAGAGUGGCGCUUCUAACUCGUUCCUCGGGAGCUCUGACACACGUCAUUGUUUGAGUCUGCAAUACUCAACAUGCCCUGAUGAGAGUCCUUUGACAUCCGGUUCUCAAGUUGUCACCAAUUGUGCAGCAGGGUACAAAAGUAACGACCCCAGAGCCAGAGCCAAGUCUGAGUCAUGGCUGCUCCACAUCUUGGCUGUGUGACCUUGGGCCAGCGAAUUUGCCCCAGCCUCAAACAGUUCGCUCAUCUAUGAAAUGGGACUAGUAAAACCUAUCUUGUUGUGAAGAUUAAGGAUAGACGAAGGUACUGCGGUAUCGUUUGUGCCCAGUAAAUGCCAGUUCUCUCUUGUAAACCUUUUAUAAACUCCCCUUUGCUUAUUGAACACCGCCAGAGCAGGCCUGGCAUGCGCAAAAUUACACAGCAUCUGUCCUGGAGAGCAGGGUGUGUGACCGUCACGUAAUAGGCCACGGCUUGGAGAACUGGAGUCCAAGUUCAUUUGGCAAGUGGCAGAGGUGGAGCGUGAGCCAGGUCUGAUUCUAAUAACCAGGUUCAAAACUUCUAUCUCUUUGAUCUUUUGCUCAGCAAUAGAAAGCUCAGCAUUUGCAAGAUCCAAAGAAAAUGCAUUCAAAUACCUGAUGUGGUCGACAGAGUGCAACCCGGCACGAAUUAAUGUGUUUGUUGAUAGUAAUUUAAGGUCUGUCUUUGGCUAUCAUAUAUUUGCACUGUGUUAUAGUUUUGGGGUUUUAUUUACUUUCUUUGCUAGGCUUUGCUUCCCCUGCAAGACUACAGGUCAGCCCAGGAUGAACUGUGGGGUCCGGCUUAGGGUUUCUAUUAACCACACUUAGGAGCAGCUCCGGGCAAGUGAGUGAAUUCUGAGCCUCAGUUUUUCUCUCGGUAAAAGGAGCUAGUGAUAACUGUUCUGCCAAUGUCAAGAAUUAUCUCAAAGAUGAAUGAGCUAAUAAAAAAAAAUGAAGGCUAUGUCCAACUGUGAAUUGCUAAAGAAAUGCAAGACUUCCUCCUUUCCCUUCAGGGCUGGAGGAAAGGUCUGCUCAUUUUUCUCCUGUUCCCUGUAGCCUCCAGCAUGGGAAUGCAUAUCCAAGCAGUGCUCCCAGACUUUGCUGUGAUUCCUUCCCUCAUUAAUUCAUUCCAGGCUGCAGUGAGUCGCAUCUUCGUACAGUGGCACUUAGUAUGCACCACUAGUGCCUGCAACCUUUCUGCAAAGAUCUUGCUGGAGAAGUGCAUUCCAUCCAGCUCCUGAGCUCACUAGGGAGGACCACAGACCACCUCCUACCCUUUCCUACCUCUGCUCCUCAACCACCGUGCCUCUCUGCCAUCAACCCCUGUUUCAGGCAAGCAGCUCAUCCCCACACAAGACUCUGCGUUGCUACCCAAGACCUGGUGCCAGUUCCUUCUGCUAUGGGUGCCUGCUGACCCUGCCUCUCAUUUCUUUUGGGCCCACCCCAAACUACUUUCCUAGGAGGCUUCUAGGCUUCUCCUUUGUUGCUCUCAAAGAGCUUGGUCCUUUUACAUUUUUGGAUUCUCUAACUCCCAGUAUAUAUUUAAUUGUAAUUGAGAUGGCAUUCCCAUACCAGGACAUUCACCCUUCUAGGGUGUACAAUCCAAUGGCAUUUAGUACAUUUGCAAGGUUGUGAAAGCAUCACCACUACCUAAUUCCAGAAUGUUUUCAUCACUGUAAAAAGAGGGAUCCCACUCACAUUAGAUGUCAUGCUUCAUUCCCACCUCCCCAGCCCCUGUCACUCACUAAUCUACUUUCUGUCUCUGUGGAUAUAUCUAGCCUGGGUAUUGCAAAUAUAUUACAGGGCAUGCAGCCUUUUGUGCCUUACUUCUUUCACUUAGCCAGGCCCAUGCAUGCUGUAGCAUGCAUUUGUACUUUAUUCCUUUUUGUGUCACAUUUUGUUUAUCCGCUCACCAGCAGAUGGACAUUGGAGUUGUGUCCAAUUUUUGGCUACUAUGGGUAAUGCUGCUAUAACACUCUUAUUCAACUUUUUGUGUGGACAUGUUUUUGGCUCUCUUGGGUACAGAUCUAGGAGUCAAAUUUCUGGGUCAUAUGGUAACUCUUUUUGAGGAACCUAAAACUGAACACUGCAAAUGGCAAGAAUGCAUCAUGCUGCUGGCAAUCCUUUUUAUGUCUACCUUCCCAUCAGGCCUUGAACUCCUUUCUAGGCUAGUGGUUGACAGAUUAGGAGCCCUGAAAGUACAUGGGGAUAAAAUGUGAGUUGAGGGACGCUGACACAGGAGGACACACAGAAGUGGGGUCUCGAGUCUUCUUGAAAGCUUGUUAGCAAGUCCUGAGCACCUGCAGGCUCUUGGCUGCUGUGACAGGACCUGGGUUUGUGAGCUCUAGCAGCAGAUCCCUCCUUUAGCUUUCUCAUUUUAACAGAGAUUCACACUGCUCCAUUCGGCAAAUGACAGGCAGUGACUCUUGGAUUUUCUCCUGGAGACAGGGGUCUGUACAGUUUUGCCACUGACUAGCUGGAUGACCCUGGAUAUAUGGAGUUCACAAUCCCUCUGGCUUCUCUUAGAAAUGGGGCUGCAGGUCUGCAGGCACUGGCUCCCCAAUGAGGCAAACCAGAAUCAUGACAAUUCUGAUUAAUUGCACCAACACAGAGCUAGGUAAUUGAUAUUUCUGGCAGCAGGCACUUGGGGCUCAGGAAUGUUUAAAAACAAAACAAUAUAAAACCCAUUUUAGGUGAUUCUCACAAUGAGCCAGAACUACCAGGUGUGGGCGCUAUUAUUGCUCUGUGAUCCUUCCAGCUCUAACAUUUUAUGAUUUUAUGAAACUGAAUUAUUUCCAUAGCCUGAAGUGGAACUAGUUAAGAGCUUCUGAAAGAGAUUUUUUUAUUCGUCAGGAAUGCUCAGGUACCCCAGUUAAGACCUGAAGACAAGAUGGACAAGGUGGCCUCUGAGGAGACAGCAGGGAGGCUGUGUCUCAGGCAAGUGACCUAAUACAUGGUGAAGCAGGAUUUUGAGCCAGGCCUGUCCAGAGUGCAGAGCUGGAGUUCUUCACCGCCAGGUGAAGACUCAAAAACAGUCUCCAGCCUUCUGACCUGUGUCUCAGAUUCUCAUCUCUCCUCACUCAUGGCUCCAGAAAAUUUUCCUACAGGAUUGCUGGAAAGGAUUCCCAAAUAGAAGACAAAUCUCUUCCUUUCUGAAGCCCCAAAUCUUUUUGAAAACUGUCUCCUGUCUCACCACCUGCCAUGGACCUCAGCUACACCUUAACCUCUUACCUCUACCCAAGGAGGACAGGUUUUAUUUAAGGAAAGUCAAAGCACCAGGCAAACCAGGAGCAGAUGGUAGAGAUGACAUAUUAUGCCCUUUUCAUUUGGAUGGGCCUGAAAUACCCAAUGUGCACGGCCAGGUGAUGGGGCAAGGCUUCCCAUCUGGGUGUGCAUUUGACAUCCUGAUAGGAAUACUGCAACUUCAGCAGGAAUGGCUGAGCAGGUGACCUUGGAUUUGGCUGCAAAUUCUUCCUGACCUUCCAGAGAGCCCAGAAAUUGUUGAAUCUGGAUGUGACUGUCAUUGUUCAAUCUUUGCAUUGGACAGAUGAAGAAAAGAAGACCCAGAGAGUUUUUAAAUAACUCACCCAGGGCCAGGGCGCCUGGGUAGCUCAGUUGGUUGAGCUUCCAACUCUUUGUUUUCACUCAGGUCAUGAUCUCAGGGUCAUGAGACUGAGCCCCACAUUGGACUCUGCACUCAGCAAGGUUGGGAUUA